rnacentral:rRNA from 1 species
CCUACGGGAGGCAGCAGUGAGGAAUAUUGGUCAAUGGGAGGAAUCCUGAACCAGCCAUGCCGCGUGCAGGACGACGGCUCUACGAGUUGUAAACUGCUUUUGUACCGGGGUAAAAUGCCUUACGUGUAGGGUUUUGAAAGUACGGUACGAAUCAGGAUCGGCUAACUCCGUGCAAGCAGCCGCGGUAAUACGGAGGAUCCGAGGGUUAUUCGGAUUCAUGGGGGUUAAGGGGUGCGUAGGUUGUUUUAUAAGUUAGCGGUGAAAUACCGAUGCUCAACAUCGGGGCUGCCGCUAAUACUGUAGGACUAGAGAUCAGAUGCAGCAGGCGGAAUGUGUAGUGUAGCGGUGAAAUGCAUAGAUAUUACACAGAACACCGAUUGCGAAGGCAGCUUGCUAGGCCGGAUCUGACACUGAUGCACGAAAGCGUGGGGAUCGAACAGGAUUAGAUACCCGGGUAGUC